rnacentral:tRNA from 1 species
AGGGGUAUAGCUCAGUGGUAGAGCGCUUGCCUAGCAUACAGGAGGCCUGGGUUCUAGCCUUAGCACCACAA